AGGAAGGACGAGAUAUAUAUAAUUGUAGUAGAAUUAUGUAUAUCAUUGAGCUAGCUUAUUACUUACUGUAUUCAAUAUUGAUUUACAUGUGAUGUAAGAGUGAGAGUAUUAAUGAGUUGUAGAGAGCCUCGGUAAGAGUGAGGGGAGAUUUUAGGGAAUCAAAUAAAAUCCAUGCUAAAAAAAGAAGGGUUCAUUCUUAACACCGUAAUCAUUCAGCCCCACCUAAUUCACCUUUGCUUUUUUCCUUCUCUGAAAUAGAGAAAAUAGAAAAAGGAAAAGAAAAGUGAGCAACCCACUGGUGUGUGUGUGUGUGUCUCUCUCUCUCUCUCUCAAUUGCUUUAGAAAGGGAUCCCAAUGUUGCACCCCACCAACCUCCAUUGCUUCAGCUAGAAGCCUCUUAUCCACUCACCACCCAUGUCCCAUUGGAGGUAGAAAAAGAAGAUAAAUUUGGAAUGGAAGUGGGGAAAAGGAGGGUAGGGGUUAGAGGGAGUGUGGUUGCAGGGUCAGUGUGGGAGAGCAGAAUGAAGAGUGAUGAAGUGAGAGGGGGGAUUAAGGUCUUCAAUGCUGAAGAAAGCCCUGAAGAAAAUGCUGCUGCCAGAGUGAAAAGAAGCCCAAUUGGGUGUGGAAAGAGAAAAACUUGGAAAUCAGAGAGCCCAAUUCAGUGUAAGGAUUCCUCUGAUGGAAUCAAGAAGAGCCCAAUUCGAAAAAUUGCAGCUUUUGCUGAUAAUUUUGAGAGAAGCCCGGUUCACACCAGAAAGCUGAGAUCUGAGACACACAAGAGUGGUGAACCGGAUGAGAGGAAUUCACCUCAAUUGAGGAAGUCUAAGUCGGAUUCAAUCAAGAAGAAUGCUUCUUGUUCAAUUCAAUUGAGGAAGACCAAAUCUGAGUUGGAUCCAGUUCCUGAUGAGUCAACAAGGGAUGAAAAAAUUGGAGUUGAGAAUGGGAAUGACCAUGUGGGUGAUGAAAAUUGCGUGGAUUUGGGUGAUGUGUGCCAAGAGAAGGUGAUAUCUAGCACCUCAGAGAAUGUGGUCCAAGGUUCAGAAUCAGAAGAAUUGUCGGUUCAGGUUGGUGGUGAUUCGGAUGAUGUCAUUGUUGAUGAAGCAGAUGAAGAAGAGGAUGAGGAGGAGGUUGAGGUUGAGAUUGAGAUUGAGAUGGAGAAGGAGAGAAUUGAUGUGAAGGAAAUUAGUAUUCCAGAAUCUAAGUUUGAGGUUGUGAAGGGACCAGAAAAUAAUGAAGUUGUUGGGAAUGAACAUGAAAAGGUGGUUGUGAAUGAGCCAGAGCCUAAGAAGAUUCUGAAGGAACCAGAACCAGAACCUAAGAAGAUUCUGAAUGAACCAGAACCUAAGAGGGUUGUGAGUGCCCACAUGCGAUUUCAUCACAAAAAUGAAAGAAAGCCAGUUUCUGUCCCACUUGCUCUCAAGCAAUCUCCUACAAUCAGAAGGAAUUCCACACUUCAUCAAAAUUUCUCCCGAGCUAAUUCAAUUCCAAAGACUGAAGAAUACCGUAGUUUUCCACAAACCCAAAGCAAGUUGCAGAGUCUAGUGGAUUUAAUCAUGUGGAGAGAUGUUUCGAGAUCAGCAUUUGUUUUUGGAUUUGGAACAUUCAUCAUUGUCUCAUCUUCUUAUGCAAAGGAUAUUAAUCUGAGUGUUAUUUCAGUGAUGUCCUAUGUAAGUCUUGUAUAUCUAGCUGUUAUCUUCCUAUAUAGAUCCCUAAUUUGCAGGGGAGUCAUAUACGUUGAGGACUCAAAUUAUGUAUUGGGAGAAGAAGAUGCAAUUUGGAUGCUAAAAUUGAUCCUCCCUUACUUGAAUGAGUUCCUGUCAAAACUCAAAGCCCUGUUUUCUGGAGAUCCGGGCACCACAAUCAAGUUGGCAGUUUUGCUCUUUGUUUUGGCUAGAUGUGGCAGCUACAUAACCAUUUGGAAGAUGGCCAAGUUUGGCUUCUUUGGAGUUUUUACCGUACCAAAGAUAUGCUCUUCGUAUUCUGCGCAGUUAACUGCAUAUGGUAAUUUUUGGAUUCGUCGAUUCCGGGAUGCAUGGGAUUCAUGCACUCACAAGAAAGCCGUGGCUCUUGGCAUCUUUGGGCUUGUGUGGAAUUUAUCGUCAGUUGUUGCUCGUAUUUGGGCAGUGUUCGUCCUAUUUGUGGCCUUCAGAUAUUAUCAACAACAUUAUUUGGUGAGAGAUGAAUACGGGGAAGACGAAGCAGAAUGUGAUGAAACAUGGCAAGAACCUGUUGCAGUCAGACAAAAACAAGGACCUGCCACCAACUUUAGUGAUAGAAAUAAAGUAAAGAAAGGGUUCUAAAAGGACGUGUUGAUGGUGGCUAGUGGUACCACAUUUAACAGGCUUGUCCAGGUGCUUGCACCAUGCUAUUUUCACUUUUAAAACUUUUUUUUUUUUUUUUUAAUUUUAAAGUUUCACAUAGAAGUUUCUUUACAUAUGUCUAGGCUGUAAAUUUUUGUUCAGUUAAUAUAAAUUUUAAAGGUUAAUUUAGUAUGCAAAUCCAUCAGGGUUCAAUAGGGAAAAGGGAAUAACAGCUAGGACGUUUAUGUUCUGUAACUAGCAUUCAGUUAUAAUAAUUUAUUUUCGUUAAGGCGAAAUUUCUCAAAUUGGUUCUGUA